UACGAAGGGGGCUAGCGUUGCUCGGAAUUACUGGGCGUAAAGGGCGCGUAGGCGGAUAUCUAAGUUGGGGGUGAAAUCCCGGGGCUCAACCCCAGAAGUGCAUUCGAAACUGCAGAGCUUGAGUCUUGGAGAGGGUGGUGGAAUUCCGAGUGUAGAGGUGAAAUUCGUAGAUAUUCGGAGGAACACCAGUGGCGAAGGCGACCACCUGGACAAAGACUGACGCUGAGGUGCGAAAGCGUGGGGAGCAAACAGG
rnacentral:rRNA from 1 species